UACGGGGGGGGCAAGCGUUGUUCGGAAUUACUGGGCGUAAAGGGCUCGUAGGUGGCCAACUAAGUCAUACGUGAAAUCCCUCGGCUUAACCGGGGAACUGCGUCUGAUACUGGUUGGCUUGAGUUUGGGAGAGGGACGCGGAAUUCCAGGUGUAGCGGUGAAAUGCGUAGAUAUCUGGAGGAACACCGGUGGCGAAGGCGGCGUCCUGGACCAAUACUGACGCUGAGGCGCGAAAGCCAGGGGAGCAAACGGG
rnacentral:rRNA from 1 species